rnacentral:rRNA from 1 species
UACGAAGGGGGCUAGCGUUGCUCGGAAUUACUGGGCGUAAAGCGUGCGUAGACGGUUAUUUAAGUCGGGUGUGAAAGCCCUGGGCUCAACCCAGGAAGUGCAUUCGAAACUGGCGCGCUUGAAUAUGGAAGAGGGCGCGGAAUUCCCGGUGUAGAGGUGAAAUUCGUAGAUAUCGGGAGGAACACCAGUGGCGGAAGGCGG